rnacentral:rRNA from 1 species
ACUUUCAACAACGGAUCUCUUGGUUCUGGCAUCGAUGAAGAACGCAGCAAAAUGCGAUAAGUAAUGUGAAUUGCAGAAUUCAGUGAAUCAUCGAAUCUUUGAACGCACAUUGCGCCCGCCAGUAUUCUGGCGGGCAUGCCUGUUCGAGCGUCAUUUCAACCCUCAAGCACAGCUUGGUGUUGGGACUCGCGUUAAUUCGCGUUCCUCA